rnacentral:lncRNA from 1 species
UUUUACAUGUUUUUUCUCUUUUCUUCUUUUCUUUUCCUUUCACAUGCAUUUUUCUUUUUCAUCUUUUGAACUCAAUGCUUUUCUUUUUCUUUUGCCUUUCACUUUCCCCAUUCAACCCCCAAACUUGAACCUUUUCAAAACAUAUAAUUAUUCUCAACCCUAACUCAAGGUAAAUCAAUUCCAACAAGGGUUUUUAUACUGUUUAAGGUCAA